UUAUUUAACUGCGCAGUGGGCAACCGUGAUCAAGAAGGCGGCUACACGAGGACGAUAUUUGACCAUUGCAGUUCCGGUUAAGUUGACAUCUCCGGUUAUUCCUAACGUGAAUAAAGCGGGCGCUUAAUUUUUAGUCUGCGGGACCGGCAUUAGGCUAUCCCGCC